UCUCUCCUCCUUCUCCUUUUCGACGGAAAAAUCCGUCGGAACAUAUAGCUAUAAAAAAGAAAAAAAAAUUGUAAACUUCCUAACCCUAAAUCCCCCCUUUCUCUACCGCCCCUUUUCUUUUUCCCUCUCUUCUCUUUCCUCUCUCUCUCCUCCUUCUCCUUUCCUUUCUUCUGUUGUUCCGCGCGCGACCCCUCUCUACUCCAUUCCUCUCUUUUCUUCUUCUUCUCUCCUCUUCAUUUUCUUCCCCUUGUUCUUCUAUCACCACCACCACCAACAUCUCUGCCAUCACCACUGACAACAACCAACAUCACCGCCAUCCCCGCCACCAACAACACCACAACAACAACAACACCACAACAAAGCCCACGAAGAUUUUCCGACCAUAUUCCCGACCACAUUCCCGGCGUUUAUGGUUUUAAGGUCAAGUUCGACCAUGGAAAUGCUAGAUCUAGCGUUUUCAUGGUCGAAUUUGGCCUUAUAUAACUAAUUUUCAGACCAAUUUCAAGACUUUGAAACGUUUUGGGGGAUUAGGCGUCCAUACGACAAUUACCACCGGAGUUUAUUUGGUGGUUACACAAGGUGUUGGUAUUCGGGAUGAUUUACGCGCACUAAUGUUACGUAGUCACGUCCUAGAUAAAAUAGUAGUUCCGAUUUAGUGUUUGCAUCUAAUUAUAUUUUUGUCACACUAUGUUGCAUUUAAAGGAAAUUUAUAUACAGUUUUUGAUGUAGAGUAAAUUGUUAUUAGCUAAAGUUACUGUUUCUGAUUAAAGUAGUUUCUUUUUUUCCUUUUUUUUGUUUUUUUUUUUUUUGUUUUGCUGUGUUUAUAUUCUCGUGGUUAAUAUUGGUAAUAUAUAUAGGUGAGUAGGUGUGACUAUGUUUUUUAAUUAUUAAGCGUAGUGUGUUUGUUAGUGGAAUAAAAUGAAUUUCAUCAAAGGGACUAUCUUGUACUGUGAGUAAUAAUCUAACUGCCAUAAUUGGAAAACAAACUUCCCAUCAAUUCACAACUAUCAAACAUUUUAGAUCUUCACACACAGCUUUGACCAAAGCUGUUUUUUUU